GCCUGGGUGGCUCAGUCGGUUGAGCGUCCGACUUCAGCUCGGGUCAUGAUCUCACAGUCCAUGAGUUUGAGCCCCGUGUCAGGCU
rnacentral:tRNA from 1 species